AGAAAUCUGCUGCUGUAGCGGAAAGAACAUAGGCUAGGCACCGGCAGGCGGGCGCAGGAUCUAGACUAUGGGUAUUUAAAAUUGGAGAUGGCAAGAAAAAAAUUUGAUAGAAUAAAUUAUAGUUUUAUAACACAGAAUUAAAUGGUAGCAUCAUUGAUUAAUAAAAUUGAUCACAAAUUGAAAUUGUCCAGCUACUAAUGAUCAACAUAUAAAAGUGGCAACAUGUGAAAUAAAUAGAGGCUAAAACAGCAAAAUGGUAACAAAUGUCCUUAUCCUUAGCUUUCCGUUCUUCUUUGCAGCAGCCCUUGCCAUGAAAAUCCUCAAAUCAGUAGCGGCACUACCCUUCCUCUUCAUGGUUCAAACCUAAAAGUUACACAAUUUCACAUUGAACUAAAUUCAUGAGCAUCCACAUUUUGCAAGUUGAUGUGCUUCCUAAUUUGACAAACAAUUGAAAAUGGCAAAAUGCUCACCUCAAUUUCACAAACAAUCAGGAAUAGCAAUCAGUAGACUUGAUGAAUCACUGGACUCGCGGAGGAAUAGCAAUCAGUUCUGAUAGCAAUCACUGGCAAUCACUGGCUCGGCCGACUGAAAUAGCAAUCACUGGCGCAGUGGCGCGCCUAACCGCCCACGACCCACCAGUAGCGCGCAGCGCGCUGCACCUGCGCGCCCGCCGCCCAGAACUGUC
rnacentral:lncRNA from 1 species